rnacentral:rRNA from 1 species
UACGAAGGGGGCUAGCGUUGUUCGGAAUUACUGGGCGUAAAGGGCGCGUAGGCGGCCGUUCAAGUCGGGGGUGAAAGCCUGUGGCUCAACCACAGAAUUGCCUUCGAUACUGUACGGCUCGAGACCGGAAGAGGUGAGUGGAACUGCGAGUGUAGAGGUGAAAUUCGUAGAUAUUCGCAAGAACACCAGUGGCGAAGGCGGCUCACUGGUCCGGUUCUGACGCUGAGGAGCGAAAGCGUGGGGAGCGAACAGG